ensembl:processed_transcript Mir100hg Mir100 Mirlet7a-2 Mir125b-1 cluster host gene
CGCUUCCUGCCCCCGCCUUCCCUCCCCGCCCCAUUCUCUGUCCUAUUGAACACCUCGCCCAGCCUAGAGCUCACAUUCUCCCCCGGCUCCGGAUGGCGCUCCUGGAAGCUCUGCAACUAGGCUCCACUUCAAAUGGGAAGAAGAUGGACAAUGUCUAUACGCCAUCUUCAGUUGGUAACGCUGUGGCAGUUAGCAUAACCAGUGCUAGGGGAGAUUCAGCCGCACUGGCUGCGGUGUGCAUGGACAACCGGAGUGAGGACAAAUCCCAUUCCGUCUGAAGACAGUCUCCUGCCAGAGAGCAAAUGCAGCUAGCCCAUACAUGAUGCCAAGCAGAACACACUUAGAGAUUUUCCAUGGUGGGAGCUCGGCACUCCUAGUGUGGGGUUUACUUUGUUCAGGCGUUGUGCUGGGAUUUGAGGAGACUGGCUACAACUCCACAGGGCAGUUGCUGAGGAUGGAGCCUCCGUGUGUCUCAGAAGACUGCAAUUCUUACUGCUAGGAGACUGCAUGGCUGGUUCCCUCUGAGCUAAGCUUCUAUUUCCGUAGCCCAGAUGCAAUGAGGAGGUGCCUAUGAUAGACAU